UGAUAAAGUAACUUCUUAGUGCUCUUGA
rnacentral:sRNA from 1 species